ACUGAAUUAGAGAUAUCUCUAAUUACAUUUGCGGAUGUAUGACACGUCUAUUGAAGAUAUCUAUAAAGUAAUUACAGAUAUCUUAAAUGGAGUUUUGACUAGUCAUAAAGUAUUUAGAGAUAUCUUUAAUCCGAUUUCUUACAAGUGCAAUUAUAAUUGCAGAUAUCUCUAAUUGUCAUUGUGACUAGUCGAAUUAUAAUUAUGACUAUCCGAAAUUAUAUUUAUGGAUGGUCAAACCAAGUUUUAAAUGCUAAAACGGCUUGCGAUAUUAGAGCCGAAACGAACUCCCCCAGAAAGUUCGCUUUGGUGAGCCGUUUCGAACUGCCAAAACGGAGGUCCUGAUUUUGUUCGAGAUGACGUCAUAUCAGUUCGUUCUUCGAUUUCUGAAUCUCUCUACACUGACUGCCCGGGUUGCUGAACACCAAAAGCGCUCGCUGCCAUUCCAGAGCUUGUCAAAAAAUACCCAUUUCCGGAUUUCAUGGAAUGUUGUAUCACCCUUCUGCACAUGGAAAAACACUUUACUCCAUUUCCACCUCACAUCCACUCCAAAGCAACAACUUUGUUGUGCAAAUAUGGAACUACAGAAUUGCUCUGUAAAGCCUGGAAGAGACUGACACAAUAACACCUAUAGUUCUUAGCAUUUGUGAUAUGCAGUUACUGUUGUUUGAUAUGUAAAAUUCACUUGACUAAUAAUGUAAUAAAAAUCCCCCACAAUUUACUGUUGUUACUGAAGCAAUCAUUCUUGUAAUUCAGGGAUUACCACGUUAUUUUGUCAACCAAACCUCUUUGACCUAAAAUGAAUACGUUUGCAUGUUCAUGGUUCUCUCUAGGUUAACAGUCACAUAACCAAGUAGUAAAUGUAAAAUAUUUAAUCUUUAUUUAAUCAUUUUUUGUUUAAUUUUUUACACUUUUGUAAUUAUUAUAGUCUU